CCUACGGGCGGCUGCAGUAAGGAAUAUUGGUCAAUGGACGAAAGUCUGAACCAGCCAUGCCGCGUGAAGGAUGACGGCCCUCUGGGUUGUAAACUUCUUUUAUCUGGGACGAAAAAAGAUCAUUCCUGAUCACUUGACGGUACCAGAGGAAUAAGCACCGGCUAACUCCGUGCCAGCAGCCGCGGUAAUACGGAGGGUGCAAGCGUUAUCCGGUUUUAAUGGGUUUAAAGGGGGCGUAGAAGUCAGUGGUGAAAUCUUCGAGCUUAACUCGGAAACUGCCAUUGAUACUAUAGGUCUUGAAUCAUCUGGAGGUGAGCGGAAUAUGUCAUGUAGCGGUGAAAUGCUUAGAUAUGACAUAGAACACCGAUUGCGAAGGCAGCUCACUACGGAUGUAUUGACACUGAGGCACGAAAGCGUGGGGAUCAAACAGGAUUAGAUACCCUGGUAGUC
rnacentral:rRNA from 1 species